rnacentral:misc_RNA from 1 species
CUCGGAGUUCGAUAUCUGCAAGGUGGUCGAGCCGCAGGCGCGUGCGAUCUUCUCCACGCGCUCAAUCAAUUCGUCGACUUCGACCUUGGGGCCGUCGAGUUCGAUGAUCAGCAGCGCCUCGACGUCGAGGGGGUAGCCCGCGUGGACGAAGGCUUCCGCCGCGACGAUGGCGUUCUUGUCCAUCAUCUCCAUGCCGCCCGGGAUGAUUCCC